GCCGGGAUGGCGGAAUAGGCAGACGCAGGGGACUUAAAAUCCCCCAAUCGAAAGAUUGUGCGGGUUCAAGUCCCGCUCCCGGCACCA
rnacentral:tRNA from 1 species